GCGGAAGGAUCAUUACAGCGAAGCGGCGCGAGCCGCCUUUCGAACCACCGCGUACCGAACCCCCCACGUUGCCUCGGCGGGCGCCGGGCGCCCCGCGCCCGCCCCGCCGAACGGCCCCCCAGCAAGACCCCUUCCGUCGAGAUGGCGUCGUCUGAACCCUCCGGGGAAAACGUUUGAAACGAAAAACACAACUUUCAACAAUGGAUCUCUUGGCUCCGGCAUCGAUGAAGAACGCAGCGAAACGCGAUAGCUAGUGUGAAUUGCAGAUUUCAGUGAAUCAUCGAGUCUUUGAACGCACAUUGCGCCUCUUGGUAUUCCUCGAGGCAUGCCUGUUCGAGCGUCGUUACGCCCCUCAAGCGCGAGCUUGGUGUUGGGGACCGCCCCUGAGACACGGCGGCGGCCCCGGAAUGCAUCGGCGGUGCUGGUCCCAGCCCGGAGCGCAGCAGACAUGCGGCUCCGCGGGCGGGGCCGGCGCCCGCCGGACAAACGACGAGACCCCUCCACAAGUCG
rnacentral:misc_RNA from 1 species